UACGGAGGGGGUUAGCGUUGUUCGGAAUGACUGGGCGUAAAGCGCGCGUAGGCGGAUCGGAAAGUCGGGGGGUGAAAUCCCGGGGCUCAACCCCGGAAUGGCCUUCGAAACUCCCGGUCUGAGUUCGAGAGAGGUGAGUGGAAUUCCGAGUGUAGAGGUGAAAUUCGUGAGAUAUUCGGAGGAACACCAGUGGCGAAGGCGGCUCACUGGCUCCGACACUGACGCUGAGGUGCGAAAGCGUGGGGAGCAACAG
rnacentral:rRNA from 1 species